CUGAGCUAAAUAAGAAAAGCAACUGCUCCUUAGCUAUGAUAUAAAGAGUCAUUUCAGUCCACCGAAGUGAAAGUCUCCGGAGACAGAGCAGGAAAAACAGGGUCAUAGAAAAAGGAAAAAGUCAAACGAGAGGAAUAGCUAAAAUAACAACACAGUCACUAGCACAUCGAUAAAGAAAUGUUCUCCAACUGCUCUAAUAUAUGGUACAAUUAACUGCAUUGUGUAGUCAUUCGCGUCCAUUUUCAUUUAACAAUCAUCCGAUCACAUUCACUAACCACCAUGUAGAGUUGAAAUAAAAACUACCACAUCCUUCUCUUCCAGUGUGGUAUCCAGUUGGCCGCUGAGCUCCCAGUCACAAUCGUUCACAAGGACUAGGACACCAGGUCUCCUGCAC